GCUGAUGUAGCUCAGUCGGUAGAGCAGCUGAUUUGUAAUCAGCCGGUCGGGGGUUCGAAUCCACUCAUCAGCU
rnacentral:tRNA from 1 species